AAGGAAUAUUGGACAAUGGAGGCAACUCUGAUCCAGCCAUGCCGCGUGAAGGAAUAAGGCCCUAUGGGUUGUAAACUUCUUUUAGACGGGACAAAACCCCUUUACGUGUAAAGGGUUGAUGGUACUGUCAGAAUAAGCAUCGGCUAACUUCGUGCCAGCAGCCGCGGUAAUACGAAGGAUGCAAGCGUUAUCCGGAAUUAUUGGGUUUAAAGGGUGCGUAGGCGGACUAAUAAGUCAGUGGUGAAAGCCUGCAGCUUAACUGCAGAAUUGCCAUUGAUACUGUUAGUCUUGAGUACAGUUGAGGUAGGCGGAAUGUGUCAUGUAGCGGUGAAAUGCUUAGAUAUGACACAGAACACCGAUUGCGAAGGCAGCUUGCUAAGCUGUAACUGACGCUGAGGCACAAAAGCGUGGGGAGCAAACA
rnacentral:rRNA from 1 species